rnacentral:lncRNA from 1 species
AAAACCCCAUGCCAUCGAGACGACGGCGGGCAUACGACCGACAAGCACGAUUCGCGACCGAGGCCACAAUGAUGGCGACCAACAAGACCACGACCCCCGCACCAAUCGCGGUGGGAUUUCUUGUAUGGCGUGUAUAGCGACGAUCGCGGUCGAGUCAGCGUGUCUGAUGCUGCCGUCCGCUUGGACGGACGGGUACCUUUUGGUCGCAUCCGCUGCGGUUUUUGUUUCCUUUGGACGCUUGCGCGCGUCACGCCUUUGCAGCCACACACGACCCCAAAAAAAGAGAAAAAAGAAACCCAAAAAAAU